rnacentral:tRNA from 1 species
GGGUAGGUAGCUCAAAUUCUAGAUGCAGAGCGUCGGACUGUUUUCCGGAGAUGCGGGUGUGAAUCCCGCCCUACCCC